rnacentral:rRNA from 1 species
CAGCCGCCGCGGUAAUACAGAGGUUGCAAGCGUUAUCCGGAAUGAUUGGGUGUAAAGCGUCUGUAGGUGGCUUUUCAAGUCCGCCGUCAAAUCCCAGGGCUCAACCCUGGACAGGCGGUGGAAACUACCAAGCUGGAGUACGGUAGGGGCAGAGGGAAUUUCCAGUGGAGCGGUGAAAUGCGUUGAGAUCGGAAAGAACACCUACGGCGAAAGCACUCUGCUGGGCCGACACUGACACUGAGAGACGAAAGCUAGGGGAGCAAAUGGGAUUAGAUACCCCAGUAGUCCCUGUCUCUUAUAC